rnacentral:lncRNA from 1 species
GGGCAUUCCCUCCGCUCACGAAAUUGCUAUUAUAGGGGCCGGGGUCUGAAUACCUAUUCAACACCCUACCGUUUAGGCUUUUAGACCAAAAUAGCCUGCCUCUCUUCUUCCCAAAAUUCACUCCAGAUUUAUUUUUCUCUCCAAAUCAAGCAUCCAUUCACCCUUCGUCUUCAUCUCCCACGUUUUCUUUUUCUCUUUUUUUCCCGAUUCAUUUUAGUUAAAGUUCUUUCAUCUUCAUCUCCCCAAAUAUUGUAAGUUCAGUUGAGACAUUUUCUGCUCAACAUUUUUUUCCCUUUUCAGUCACGUUUUCUCAUUCUUGUUUACACGAAUUGAUGCAGUGAAAUCCAGAAGUACCAGCAAAGUACUGAGAACUCCUCAUUAGGAAAUUGCCUUUCAAAAGGUUCGUUCGUGAAAUUGCCCAAGACUUUAAGGAAAUACCAUUAAAUUACUGCUUCUUCUUCUUUUCUGUUUAAUUAUUGUAAAGAAAUCAAAACUUAUGCUCAAAGUAUGGUUACGGUUAUGGUUAUAUAAGAUAAGAAUGUUUGCAUUUCAUGAAGAUGGAUGAUAAAAAAAAGGGUCUUCUUUUUUGUUGAUGGUUUGUUUUCAUCUUUGUAAUUAUAUGAACCAUACAUCAGCUCAACAAUUUUUUACCAAAAAAAAGUACAAUUUUGAGGGUGAGGAACAUCCAAAAACCUUCUUACCUGUAAGCAUAUAGGCUUUAAAUACAAGCCACCAGUAAAGAAGCUAAAUUGGAAAAGGGAAAAAGGAAAAAAAAUCCAUAUGUUUUGAAGAGGCAGGUAGGCAAGCAUGGGUUGUGAGAUUGGUCAAGUCAUUUGAUGUCAGCUAAGCUGUAGUUGAUGUAAGGCAGGUAGGAAUGGUUAGUAUUGUUGUAGUAUUUACUAUAUUAAUCUAUGGUUUCGAAAUUUGUUUUAACUGCCUUUUCUGUUCAUAUUUUUUGUGAGCAUUUUUGGUUUGUUGAUAGGAGUGCUUCUGCUGUAAAUUGAUGGAAGAAAUAUAGCGUUCUUUUUCUUUUUUUUUUUGGUCUUUGGUUGAUAUUGGCAAUUUGAUUUAGGAGGUGAAUGGAAAGAGUUUAAUGACAUCUAUUGACAUCACCAAAUUUUAAGAAAAACUCAGGAAAUCAUUAAUGUCUAUUGGUUAUAAUUGCAUGAUCAUUUGUAAGGAUCAGACAAAACCAUAGUUUUCUUUUGUUGGUGAGCAAAUGUGUUGCGUAGAAUGUUCUAAUUCAUCUGUAGGAUUUUGCAUUUAUGUUUUGUCUCUUGUAUGCGUACAUAAAGGGUGACGAGGAUAUAAUUUGAAGGUUUUGAAAAGUUCAUCAUAGUUUUCUUUUGUGAACUAUGUUGUACAAGAUUUAUCUUAUUUCAUUAUUUGAAUAAAUACGUGCAGGUAUGAGCCAUUAUCCUUUCUCCUAGGCAAGGAGUACUUUUUUCACGGCUACGGUCCAAUAUAUGCUCUUUCAGCUGAUGUUGUUGCAAGUUUGGUUGCUCUAAAAAACGACAAGUACUAUUAAUGAUUUCAUAUCUAAUCCAUAGUUAUCUGUUAAAUCGAUUCCCUCUGUUCUUUAUGUGUCUUGUUGGCGUCUUGUCUAUAUUUGGGUCAUAGAUUUUGACUUGCUGACAACGUUGGUUUUGUAUAUUCGGCAACUGUUUCGGCAAGAGAUUAUUGAAAUGUUUCUUUGUGAUCGUAUCUGGAUUUUGAGCUACUUUUCUUUUUCUUCUGUUUUUUGGUUUUACUGAGUUUGCAGCGGCAAGAGACAAUGUUGGUUUUACUCGUGUUUGUGCAAAGUACUGCGUGAAGUGUAUAUGUUGGUGCUUUUAAUCAAAUAAGUUGGUUCUUUCACAUGCCAUAUUCAAUAUCUUGAAUGGGAGUCUUCAAAAGAUACGGAAGACUGCUUUGGGGAAAUAUAUGAAGAUUUAAGACAAAAGUUAGCUUGUGAUGUCGUAGUUGAUGCACGGCUUUCCUCUACAUAACGGACUUUCAAAGUUAAACUAUUUUAUCUAGUUUUCAUUUGGAGACCAUGAUAUCUUUUUAAAAUUAUUUCAAAAUCUUUUUAUACAAUGUAAUAUUAAAGAUAACUCAUUAUUAUUAUUUAAAUACUAGC